GGGAUGUCAAGUAAGCAUCCAUUUGGAGUGCAGGAAGGAGCAGUGCAAAGUGAACUAUCAAUCCGUUUGUGUUUGGGCUGUCAAAGAAGCAUCUUUCUGUUUCCUGGGGGGACGUGGGCUUAUUGCAUGAUAUUUCUGCUGCUGCCUGCUGGUGCCUGUGAAAUCAACGUUGUGGAUUUUUUACAAUGUUUCUGUAGGGAUGGAUCCUGCGCGUAAAUGGAGUGGUGCUGGGCAAGGGGGGAAACGGAAAGCCUCCGCAGGUAAGAAGCUCAUGUGAGCUGUGCUAUGGGUAUGCGCCUCUAAAUAGGGCUGCAUGAAGGGCAGUGUGUGCGAUGGAGGGGAGAGGAAAGGGCACUGCACAUCCGUGCUGGGAACCCAACGUUCAGCCAAGAUCCUAAGAUCCCUUACCGUGAGCACUCGAGACAUUUUAGCAUGAUGGCCCAUUCUGCAGAGUGCAAGGACUGCAAGGACUCUCUUUCAAUCUUGUUGCUUCUCCUUUCCCGAUUAUCACAGAGAGAGGUGCCGAGCCCAACGGAAAGAUCUACGCAAAAGCGGUGCAGGAAGUCCUUCUGGAGAGAGCUCAUCUCCAGGCUGGAGGGCUUCCUACAACAGCAGGUCCCAACACAGGGGGAAGACCUUCCCCUGCUGUGUGCCCCCGCUCUGUCUCCAAGUCCUUGGCUGGAUGUAAACGCAAAGGCUUGGAAGAAGCGAAGCCAACAGCAGUGCAGCUGCCUGCUAACAAAAGAGUGAGGGGGCCGAGCGGAGACAGCGUGCCAGCUCCAGCAGCACACCCUGGGCCUGCUGCAGUGCGGAGCUCCAAGCUAAGAGGUGAGAAGGUGCUGUGGGACCCACCCUGGUGAGCUGCUGCCCUUUUCAAGCACACUGAGUUUGCUCAGGGUUUGCUUUGCUUUUUCCUUCUCUGUGGAGGGGACAAGAGUGGAAGGCUACAAAGUCCAAAGGCAGUGAGGUGCCAGAACACGUAACCCCGUCUCCUUCCAUUAACUCCAUGGUGGUCUUCUGCACAUCCCCCUGGAAAUGUCAUUCACUGGGAGGCUUCCUAGUCCCGUUUCCUCUGUCUUUUUGCUGCCUUCUGCCUGUACGGCACCCCUGUUUCUGCAGUUGCGCUGCUGACAAAACGUAUUCACGUUUAUUCUUGCUUUCUAGCGAGAAGACGCCAAGAGAAAGAGAGGAGAGGGGAAUCGAUGAAGGCUGCCCUCAGAGCUGCCGCUGCACGUGCAGAGGUGAGUCCUUGGUGAAGGCAGACACGGCUCUGCUUGUUCUCAGGGCCUCCGUCUGUCAGACAUGAAAGAAAGAGACUGUAAAUUCCCGAGGGAAGAGCAGUCCUGUUUCUACCCUCGCUCCGUUUCUUUCCAGGCCUCCGCAGUGAACAG
rnacentral:lncRNA from 1 species